CAGGAGGUCACAGGGUCCCUGCUGCAAUGAAGGAGGGAAGUCCACUGUGCCCACACUUCUGAAACUGCUGCUCAAAUACAUCACGACUCUGGCUCAGUUCCAACAAAUGUUACAGUGCCUGCAUGAGGCUUGCACCAGAGAGACUGACUCACCUUUGUUCCACCCUGGAGAUCAGUAAUUACCGUGUUCCUAGAAGACAAGCUGAGGACAUGACCAGAAUUCCCAGGGACCUGGACUCCUGGAAUGAGAAUGGGACUGACCAGCCCAUGUCCCCCUCCCCUCCUCUCUCUGUUAAACCCCUAUUAACUCCUGAACAAUGAAACUCAGUGGAUUUCCACUCCCCGGGACCCCUCCUGUUGU